ACGGAGAUUGAGCAAUAACAGGUCUGUGAUGCCCUUAGAUGUCCGGGGCCGCACGCGCGCUACACUGAAGGGAUCAGCGUGUAUAUACCCCUGUCCGAUAGGACUGGGUAACCCGCUGAACCCCCUUCGUGAUGGGGAUAGGGGCUUGUAAUUAUUCCCCUUGAACGAGGAAUUCCCAGUAAGCGCGAGUCAUAAGCUCGCGUUGAUUACGUCCCUGCCCUUUGUACACACCGCCCGUCGCUACUACCGAUUGAAUGAUUUAGUGAGGUCUUCGGACCUGCGGUCGUCGCGGCCUCGUGCCUGCAACGGUUCGCGGGGAAGAUGCCCAAACUUGAUCAUUUAGAGGGAAGUAAAAGUCGUAACAAGGUUUCCGUAGGU
rnacentral:rRNA from 1 species